rnacentral:rRNA from 1 species
GACGAACGCUGGCGGCGUGCUUAACACAUGCAAGUCGAGCGGUAAGGCCCUUCGGGGUACACGAGCGGCGAACGGGUGAGUAACACGUGAGCAAUCUGCCCUCCACAUCGGGAUACCCCCCGGAAACGGGAGCUAAUACCGGAUACGACCACUUCAGGCAUCUGAUGGUGGUGGAAAGUUCCGGCGGUGGAGGAUGAGCUCGCGGCCUAUCAGCUUGUUGGUGGGGUAAUGGCCCACCAAGGCUUCGACGGGUAGCCGGCCUGAGAGGGUGACCGGCCACACUGGGACUGAGACACGGCCCAGACUCCUACGGGAGGCAGCAGUGGGGAAUAUUGGACAAUGGGCGAAAGCCUGAUCCAGCAACGCCGCGUGAGGGAUGACGGCCUUCGGGUUGUAAAGCUCUUUCAGCUGGGAAGAUAAUGACGGUACCAGCAGAAGAAGCCCCGGCUAACUCCGUGC